CAAUGAAUUGCUGCCCAUUUAGGGUCAAAAUGAUUCGUCCAUGAUGUUUUCCUAAAGCUUCCUGAAGCUACACAACCGGUGCUAAAGUUGGACACUUAUUUAAUGUCCAAGAAAUUUGUUUUUCAGCCAAUUACAUAAAUAACGGAGAUACCACAGGAGUUCCGUCAAAAUAAACCACUCAUAUUUCUGACUAGAUCUGUCGAUCAGCCUCGCCUUGAAUGUAACGUGUAGCUGGAAAACAAAAGACUAUUACAAGAUCCAAAGAACUAUCACCGCUAGAAAAGAUGCCACAGAAACUACGGAGUAUAACGAUCAUAGCAAUGAUAUUUUGCACACUUGUACCGUUCAUUAACGCGCUCCCACAGCCUCCAAUGACAGAAUUCAAUAACUGCUUGAUAAAAUGCCGAACUUGCCUUCUCCAUUGUUCCUUUCAAGAAGAAGUUCGACCAGACGACAUGCCCAACUGCCUUGAAGACCUACGUGCCUGUCAACAAGGUUGCAGAUUGAAUCCGUCUACAGACAAACCAUGCCGCCAGUAACAAUGAAAAUAAUAUGUGUAUAUAUAGUAAUAAUAAUUGGGUCAGGAAGUGUAUUCUGGUGUGAAAAAGUAAUAGUAUUUAAUAAGCUGUAUUUAGGUAACUGGUUAAGUAGAAAUAAUAAACAAAUCACCUAGCAA